rnacentral:rRNA from 1 species
AUUAACGCUGGCGGCGUGCCUAACCCAUGCAAGUCGCGCGAAGCACUUACUUUAGAUUUCUUCGGAAUGACGCAGUUUGUGACUGAGCGGCGGACGGGUGAGUAACGCGUGGGCAACCUGCCCUGUACAGGGGGAUAACAGUUAGAAAUGACUGCUAAUACCGCAUAAGCCCACAGCUUCGCAUGAAGCAGUGGGAAAAACUCCGGUGGUACAGGAUGGGCCCGCGUCUGAUUAGCUAGUUGGUAAGGUAACGGCUUACCAAGGCGACGAUCAGUAGCCGACCUGAGAGGGUGACCGGCCACAUUGGGACUGAGACACGGCCCAAACUCCUACGGGAGGCAGCAGUGGGGAAUAUUGCACAAUGGGGGAAACCCUGAUGCAGCGACGCCGCGUGAGCGAUGAAGUAUUUCGGUAUGUAAAGCUCUAUCAGCAGGGAAGAAAGUGACGGUACCUGACUAAGAAGCCCCGGCUAACUACGUG